CCUACGGGUGACAGCAGUGGGGAAUUUUGCACAAUGGGGGAAACCCUGAUGCAGCAACGCCGCGUGCGGGACGAAGGCCCUCGGGUUGUAAAGCGCUUUCAGUGGGGACGAUAGUGACGGUACCUACAGAAGAAGCUCCGGCUAACUACGUGCCAGCAGCCGCGGUAAUACGUAUGGAGCGAGCGUUAUCCGGAUUAAUUGGGGGUAAAGCGCGCGUAGGCGGCUGCCUAAGCCGAACCUAAAAUCCCAGGGCUCAACCUCGGGACGGGUUUCGAACUGGGCGGCUCGAGUGCAGUAGAGGCAGGCGGAAUUCCUGGUAUAGCGGUGGAAUGCGCAGAUAUCGGGAAGAACACCGAUGGCGAAGGCAGCCUGCUGGGCCGUCACUGACGCUGAGGCGCGAAAGCUGGGGGAGCGAACAGGAUUAGAUACCCUUGUAGUC
rnacentral:rRNA from 1 species